UACAGAGGUCUCAAGCGUUGUUCGGAUUCAUUGGGCGUAAAGGGUGUGUAGGUGGCGCCGUAAGUCGGGUGUGAAAUUUCGGAGCUUAACUCCGAAACUGCAUUCGAUACUGCGGUGCUUGAGGACUGGAGAGGAGACUGGAAUUCAUGGUGUAGCAGUGAAAUGCGUAGAUAUCAGGAGGAAUACCGAUGGCGAAGGCAGGUCCCUGGGCCAAUACUGACGCUCAUGCACGAAAGCGUGGGGAGCAAACAGG
rnacentral:rRNA from 1 species